ACAGUUUAUUAUUAUACACAUAUAUAUUAUUCAAUUUAAUAUUUCAACUUUUAUAAUUUCACACGCUUUUCAUACGAUUUCUUACUCAACUCUUGUUGUGUGUAAUCUCCGCACAUUCAUAUUCACAUAAUGCCAAAAACCGACGUAUUCAUCAGAUAGUUGAUGAUCAACUACAGCAUCUUUUCACUUAUUCCAUUUCGUUAUCUUUGUUGUUACGUUAUUUGAGGAAUAUGAAUGAAGCGUCGCAUCACAUGCAUUAUUGGUUUCAUACUUUUACUUCACCUAAACGUGACUUCAUACAUACAUAUACUUAUGUACAUAACGGCAGACAUACCCGUUUGCAUAUGCGCCGGCGUCUCUGUCGGCAAUGACGUCUGCGCCGCAUAAGUCAAUGUUUGCAGCGCUCAACAUCGAUGUCAAUGACUUUGUUUUGCUAAAUGUCACAACGGCUUUGUUGUUUCGUGUUGUGGGAUGAGCUUCAAUUCAAGUAUUGCUUAUGCAGGGAUUUGCCGAACAUUUUCCCUGCUGUUUACCGCUUUUCGUGCUGAUUCAGCGCUUCAAUUUAGUGUUUAAUUUAUUUCGGGUUUCUUUUUCAUGGUAGUAAAAAAAACAUGUGCAUAUGUAUGUAUAUUAUAGCGUCCCGAACCGAUUUCAGUAUUUGCAUUUUACUUUUAGCGGCGACGCCUCUAAAUUCAAAGAAAAAUGUAAAAAUGCCACACACAAAAAUAUUGUUUUGCCUAAACAAAUGGUCGGCCGUAAAUUUUUUUCCAUCGCUGGUGUUUGUGAUAAAUUGCUCACUAAAAUGUUUAUUGGAAGUUCGCUUUCAAAUCAAAGUUCAUUAAUGGAAAAAAUCGAAUUAAGUGCGAAGGGUAAUAAAGUGAAAAAGGAAAUAGGCCGGUUUACACAUAAGUGAUUGGAUACCGGUUUGAUUUAAUGAAUUUACAUUAAUUUUGAUUUUUUUGAAAUACACGUCUAGCUUUAUUGAUUGUUUUCUAAAUAAAUUUUGCAACUCCAAUACUAGGUAUUUAAUUAAUAAUAUGAGAUAAAAAGUUUACUGGUGAAGCAACAAAAAUAAUCGAAAAGUAUUAAAAGUCAACGAACUUAAAGCACACGUAUUAUUUCUUUUUUUGAAUUUGUGGAAGAAUGUAGUCAAUCUGCCUUUUUUAAAUUAGUAUACGAGUACUCUAGCAAUCCCUUACUAUAUUUGAAUUAUAAAGUUUGCUUGUCUCUCCGUGAAAUCUUGUUAAAACCACAUCUCUCUAUCGGUUUAAUACUGUGUUAUACAUACAGAAUCUGUGCACUGUUAGCUAUAUUUAAAUAUGGACGUGCUCCGAAAGUUAUUGCGUUAUCGAUAUAUGGCAUAUGUAUUUCGAUAAAUUUAAUAUAUAAAGAACUGUUACUGAAUCCUCUCAAAAAUAAGAAAAAUAUUUAAUUGUCACCAUCUUCUACAACAACAACUUAAACGUUUCAAAAAUUAUUUAAAUAUGAUAAAUAUUGAAAUGUAAAGUAAAAUGUAAAUGAAUAAAUUAAAAGGAGCUACCCCUAUAUGGAUAGGAGCGUGGAAAAAAUAUGUUUAAAAUGCAUCAUUAGAGUCAGAAGCUGCAAUUUAGUAUUACAUUUCCAUUGAACUAAUAAAUGCGAGCCAAUAUCAGGCAAUAGUGAACCAGACGGCACCUGAGCAAGACCAUUUGCUUGCUUUGAUCAUUUUACGUAUUGUUCUUUAAAAAACACUGUCUCAAAACAUCAAAAAUUAAUAAGAAUUAAAAAAAUCGGGAACUAUAAACGGUGAAUUAAGGAAUAGUUCAAAAUAAUUAAAAUUUAACUAUAGGUAAUAAUAGGUCUUUAAAAAAUGUAUGAAAGAAAUGAGAUUCGUAUCGAAAGUAAAACUAAUUUGGCGAGAUAUAAUUUUAUUAAAAAUUUUAUCACUUUUUGAAAGUAAUAAGGAAACCGCAAUGUGUUUCUUAUCGCAUUUUGUUUAAAAUUAUCACAAGAAAAUUCAUUUUUUUUUUAUCAAAAACUCGUUUACCUUUUUGUCUUCAUUUACUCGUAAUUCUCGUGGAACAGGCUAUACAUUUACCCUUAUAUUCAGUUAAAAUUCUCAAAAUAGUGUUAUUGGUCGAUUUCAACCACUAAUGUUGGCUAUUUUUGUACUAAAAUACGCAUCGAAAACAGUACUUUUUCAGCAAUUCACCUUUAUUAUUAACUUAUAGACGACCUAGCUUUUGGUCCUCUUUUAUAUCCUCACAAUCAUUUUUAUUUCGUGUAAACCACAUAUAAAUAUGAGUACUUGAGUGUUAUCAACAAAAAACUUUUUCAUCGAUAUACAUAUGUAUGUACAUACAUAUGUUAUUUGAGAGAUUUGUUUAAGUUCAACAUAAAAUUUUAUUUUUGUGCUUUGUAAAAAUUGAACAUUGCGCAGUUUUUCUAUUAUUGAAACCUAAAUGAAGAUGGAUGUAUCUUUUUAAUGUUGCAUAUAAUUAAUAUAAUUUCGGUUACUUUUGCAAAAUGUCUUGCAUGUACGAUUUUGUCAUCUUUUUAAGCUAGUUUUUGCCUAAAUAUUCUUUACGUUCGUUUAACAUGACUAUAUGCAUAUGUAUGUAUAUAAAUACAAACGUGUAUGCCCAAAGAAAAAGGAAAAAAAAUGUCUCGUGAUAACAAUGAGUUAUCAACAAGUAGGCAGGUAGUCAGUUUAGCAGCCAAUCAGUUCAUUCAGCCGUUCGUUGGGUAACAGCAAUUGGUGUGACUUUAAUUUCAAUGCAGGUGGUUUCUGUUCGGUGACAUAUUAAUCGCACUUUAUCGCUGCACAGUCACACGUUUUUUUAUUUUUGUUUUAAACAAUUUUCGAAAGCGCCAA